rnacentral:rRNA from 1 species
UACAGAGGUCUCGAGCGUUGUUCGGAUUCAUUGGGCGUAAAGGGUGCGUAGGCGGCUUCCUAAGUCUGAUGUGAAAUCCCGGGGCUCAACCCCGGAAUGGCAUUGGAUACUGGGAGGCUAGAGAACUGGAGAGGAGACUGGAAUUUACGGUGUAGCAGUGAAAUGCGUAGAGAUCGUAAGGAAGACCAGUGGCGAAGGCGAGUCUCUGGACAGUUCCUGACGCUGAGGCACGAAGGCCAGGGGAGCAAACAGG